CUGGCGUCCUGCGCAGCUGCCUGGAGCCACGUCUCCUUUGGACCUGCUGGGGCUUCGGGACAACAGGGGGUUAUGUCCCCGCUGACAGGAGCCCCGUCUCCUCAGGAUCCAACAGGAGGUGCUGCACUGAGGGAAGGUCGUGCACAGGAUCCAAGACUUGCUGGCUACGGGUGUACUCAUCCCACAGUGCCUCUUAAUAACAAGUGGACUCCUACAAGGGCAAUGAGCAUCACAACUUUGGUUGACCUUGGUCUAGGUGCACAUGUCUCACUGGUGGGUUUGGCUCCUGUGGGAACUUGGCUUCUUGCGGGGCUGGUGGAGGCUGGGUCUCUUCAGGAGCCACCAUGGUCUCAGCUUCAGGAUAACGCUCGACCAACCAAGUCCACCCAGACAGGAGCUGGAUGUCUUCAAGAAUCACCAGGAGAACCGAUAAACAAGAUUAUACUGUAUAGCACAGGGAAAUAUAUACAAGAUCUUAUGGUAACUCACAGAGAAAAAAAAUGUGACAAUGAAUAUAUAUAUGUUCAUGUAUAACUGAAAAAUUGUGCUCUACACUGGAAUUUGACACAACAUUGUAAAAUGAUUAUAAAUCAAUAAAAAAAUGUUUAAAAUAAUCACCAGGAGGCAUCGCUGUGGGAAUAAAACAUGAGGAGAAAGUGGGGAGAGGCUUCCUGUGUGUGAUUACAACUAAGGAGGUCCAUCUUCAGAGGAUCCAGCAGAGAAGGGGCUUGAUAUGGAAAAUUUUUGGAUUUACUUGAUUUUGUGUUUAGUGUUGACUGUGUCUAGUGUCAUUUGGGGGGGGUAUGGUGUCCAAUGUUCUUGGCACCAUUUAUUGAGGGGACUGUCCUUUUCCCAUUUUGUGUUUUUGGCUCUUUUGCCAUGAAUUAACUGACAACAUAAAGAUGGGUUUUUUCCUGUGCUCUGUAUUCUGUUACUCUGGUCCAUGUGCCUAUUUCUGUGCCAAUAUCUUACUGUAUCUCUGCUGGUGACUGUAGCUUCCUAAGGUCGUGUGAAACCAGGGAAGGAGAUGCCUCCAACUGUGUUCUCCCUUCUCAAGGUUGUUUAGGAUAUUCCGGGUUCCUUUUUGUUCCAUGUAAAUGGUAGGAUUUCUUGUUUUCUGUUUCUGUGAAAAAAAAUGCCAUUUGAAUUUGGUAGAGUUUGCAAUUAAUGUGUACAUUGCUUAGGCUUCGUGAAUGUUACAGUAAUGUUCUUCUAGUGCAUGAGCACAGCUUUUAUUUUGUGUGUAUCCUCUUCAAUUUCUUUAUCAAUGUUUUCUAACUUUCCAUGUGCAGGCCUUUCACAUGCUUGAUUAAUUUUAUUCCUAGGUUUUUUGUUUUGU